rnacentral:tRNA from 1 species
ACCAUCUUAGCUCAGUGGUAAAGUGCGUGGCUUUUAACCACGUGGUCGUGGGUUCGAUCCCCAAUGAUGGUG